ACCGACGGCCGCCACGAACACAUCUCCCCCGCGCUCUCUCUCACCUCUCCCAGUCGUGACUGAGCCCUCAACCAGUGGCGCCAUAGCAAGGAACGUGCAACUAACAACAGUUUGCUGAACAAAAUCAAGUUCCUGUUCCUGAACAACUUGAACUUAAAGAUAAUACCAAAGGGAAACCUUAAGUGUGUGGACCAACUUGAAUACCCGAAAGUUCGUUUCCAGUGAAGUGGAACCAUUUGUUCAGUGGAACUUUAAAAAUACCUCACAGGUUCCUGCUUGAGCGGAACUUAAAAAAACAAUUAUCUGAAAGGUCCUUAUUUGAGCUUUAAAACUCCAUCUAAAAAGAUUUCCGCUUAAGUGGAACUUCAAAACAGCAUCCGAAAGGCUUCUUGAGUGCAAGAACUUGAGUGGGAACUUAAAAGCACCAUCUAAAGGGCUUCUCCUUGAGUGCAUGAACUCCCUGAGUAAGGUCACCUGGUACACGCCUUCAAGAGUGUAGAAUCAGGUGUGAGCGAAACGUGUCAGGUGUGGGCGUACUAACACAGGCGUGGGCGUACUGCCACAGGUGUGGGCGUGAUGUGGGCGGUGUGGGCGUGUUUGACAAUCCUCUUCCAAACGGGCAUCGCAGAAU